UACAGGGGGUGCAAACGUUGCUCGGAAUCAUUGGGCGUAAAGCGCACGUAGGCGGUCUGUUAUGUCGGAUGUGAAGGCCCUCGGCUCAACUGAGGAAGUGCAUCCGAAACUGGCAGGCUAGAGUACUAAAGAGGGUCGCGGAAUUCCCGGUGUAGAGGUGAAAUUCGUAGAUAUCGGGAGGAACACCGGUGGCGAAGGCGGCGACCUGGGUAGAUACUGACGCUGAGGUGCGAAAGCGUGGGGAGCAAACAGG
rnacentral:rRNA from 1 species